rnacentral:tRNA from 1 species
GGGCACUUGGCACAGUUGGUAGCGCGUACGCUUCGCAGUCGUGAUUGCGUAAGGUCUAGGGUUCGACUCCCUAAGUGUCCA